CAAGAACUUCUAGAGUACAAGGAUAAGAAUUAAAAAAAAUCAGCAGAACACCAGGGAUCUCCAUGGCCUGUUUAACGAUGGAGCCCCGCCAUCGUUCAAAUGUCUUGCGCCAUCGUCAAAUGACUCGCGCCAUCGUUAAAUUGUCUUGCGCCAUCGUUAAAUUGUCUUCCGCCAUCGUUCAAAACUUCAUCGUUUUUUGUAGCCCGACGCCAUUUUUUUUAUCAAUUAUAAUCAAAUGCAUGUAAUUGCAUAACCCUUAGGCUUUUUAUGUUAUAAUCCAAUACAGUUCUAACGCCUGAGGGAUAUCCGGAUUAAGAUCGCUAAUUACUUGUACCUGAGCUUGUACAGGUAGAUCAACAAACCAAACAGGAGAAUACUAUCUGAGGAUAGACGAUCCAUUUGUCGAAGUAAUCAACUAAGUUUCAGCAAAUGAUUAUGAUCAUUUAGAUUAAAUAAAUAAAUUAAUAAAUUAAUCCAAUUUCAAAGAAAACAGUUUAACAAGUCGAACACGUGCUUUAUUUUGACUUACGCAAUCAGCAUCCCCCUUUUUUAAGAAGUACAAAAUAAGACGCAAAACAGUAAAUAUUAUUUCAUCGUAAAUAACUCGAGUACUGCUGUAACGAUAAUUUAGAAUUACUUUAAAAGUUUAAAAGUAAAAACUUAAAUAUUUCCUGUAAAGAAAUAUCGUAUCUAAAUUACGAAUUCAUUUCGUAUAUUACAAUCAAAUUGAUACAUCCGCGUUUCCGGUUUCUAUUCAGACUCGAAAGAUGCAUGUUGCACAGCAUCAUUUUUUCCAGAUAGUCAUUAAAAACCUUUUCAUUUGUCGACGUUUGCUUUACAAAUCUCUUUAACCUUUUACAUAACCCGUACGAAUUGUUUUGUUGUUGCUGCAAAUCAGCCAUACCGGUAAUGGGCUCUGAAUUUGACAGUGUCCACGAAAAAUAAGCUCCACAUUAGAUGAUUUUUAACCCCCAUAACAAUUACCAAAAAUAAAAGAAAUCUGCAUGGGGACCUUCAUGACAGCUUUUGGUCAUUCUCGACUAAAGGGGGGGGGGGCAUGAUGACUUGGCAUUUGAAUGGUUAAAAACGGCAAUAAAUGAAAAUAUUGAUACUUCUAAUUCUAUAAUGAAAAUUCAAAUAAAUAUAAUUUAAAUAAGCAAUGAAUUAGCAUUUUCACCAUUCCUUGUAUGGAGGGAUAAAAUACUUCCGAUCGCGCUACACUGUACAGCGUAGACAAGGUUUGUAAUGGUGAAAGUUCCUCCAUGGUUCAAUUUUCAUCCAUGGAGAUCCCUGAGAACACCUCUUGUACUCACUUAUCAUCCUGCUUUAAACAUGUGUCAUUCACUGUUCAGAAGCAUUUAAAAAUUAUAGAAAAUGACUCAAAUCUAUAGAACGUACUCUCCUCACCACCAGUCAUGGCCUUCAGAAGACCUUAAAAUAUGCGUGGCAAAUUAGUGACAUCUGUAUUAGCAAAACAGGCUAC
rnacentral:lncRNA from 1 species